UGUGUCAAACAUUGUGAUAC
rnacentral:siRNA from 1 species